CAGUCGCCGCGGUAAAACGUAGGGGGCAAGCGUUAUCCGGAUUCAUUGGGCGUAAAGCGCUCGUAGGCGGUCUGUUAGGUCGGGAGUUAAAUCCGGGGGCUCAACCCCCGCUCGCUCUCGAUAUCGGCAGACUUGAGUUUGGUAGGGGAAGGUGGAAUUCCUAGUGUAGCGGUGGAAUGCGCAGAUAUUAGGAAGAACACCAGUGGCGAAGGCGGCCUUCUGGGCCAUAACUGACGCUGAGGAGCGAAAGCUAGGGGAGCAAACAGGAUUAGAUACCCCAGUAGUCCCUGUCUCUUAUACA
rnacentral:rRNA from 1 species